rnacentral:rRNA from 1 species
GACGAACGCUGGCGGCGUGCUUAACACAUGCAAGUCGAGCGGUAAGGCCCUUUCGGGGGUACGACGAGCGGCGAACGGGUGAGUAACACGUGGGUGACCUGCCCUCAGCUCUGGGAUAAGCCUGGGAAACGUGGGUCUAAUACUGGAUAUGACUCCACGGUGCAUGUCGUGGGGUGGAAAGCCUUGUGCGGCUGAGGAUGGGCCCGCGGCCUAUCAGCUUGUUGGG